rnacentral:rRNA from 1 species
UGAGAAGCUUGCUUUUCAUGAGAGUGGCGCACGGGUGCGUAACACGUAUGUAACCUACCUUAAUCAGGGGGAUAGCCUCUCGAAAGAGAGAUUAACACCGCAUAAAAUCAAUUUAUGGCAUCAUAGAAUGAUCAAAUAUUUAUAGGAUUAAGAUGGGCAUGCGGAACAUUAGCUAGUUGGUAAGGUAACGGCUUACCAAGGCUACGAUGUUUAGGGGAUCUGAGAGGAUGACCCCCCACACUGGUACUGAGACACGGACCAGACUCCUACGGGAGGCAGCAGUAAGGAAUAUUGGUCAAUGGGCGCAAGCCUGAACCAGCCAUGCCGCGUGCAGGAAGACGGCCCUACGGGUUGUAAACUGCUUUUGUACCGGAAUAAACCUUUGUAUGUAUACGAAGCUGAAUGUACGGUAAGAAUAAGGAUCGGCUAACUCCGUGCCAGCAGCCGCGGUAAUACGGAGGAUCCAAGCGUUAUCCGGAUUUAUUGGGUUUAAAGGGUGCGUAGGUGGCCUAUUAAGUCAGGGGUGAAAGACGGUAGCUCAACUAUCGCAGUGCCUUUGAUACUGAUGGGCUUGAAUACACUAGAGGUAGGCGGAAUGUGACAAGUAGCGGUGAAAUGCAUAGAUAUGUCACAGAACACCAAUUGCGAAGGCAGCUUACUAUGGUGUCAUUGACACUGAGGCACGAAAGCGUGGGGAUCAAACAGGAUUAGAUACCCUGGUAGUCCACGCCCUAAACGAUGAACACUCGAUGUUGGCGAUAUACGGUCAGCGUCUAAGCG